GACGAACGCUGGCGGCGUGCUUAACACAUGCAAGUCGAACGGAAAGGCCUGCUUUCCCUUGUGGAUUGCGGGUACUCGAGUGGCGAACGGGUGAGUAACACGUGAGUGAUCUGCCCCCAACUUGGGUAUAAGCCUGGGAAACUGGGUCUAAUUCCCGAUAGGACUGCAGGGUGGUGCCUGUGGUGGAAAACGAUUUUCUAGUGGUUGGGGAUGAGCUCGCGGCCUAUCAGCUUGUUGGUGGGGUAAUGGCCUACCAAGGCGGCGACGGGUAGCCGGCCUGGGGGGGUGGACGGCCACAUUGGGACUGAGAUACGGCCCAGACUCCUACGGGAGGCAGCAGUGGGGAAUAUUGCACAAUGGGCGGAAGCCUGAUGCAGCGACGCCGCGUGGGGGAUGCCGGCCUUCGGGUUGUAAACUCCUUUCGACCGCGAGGAAGCCACCUGGUUGGAAGGGUGGUGACGGUAGUGGUAGAAGAAGCACCGGCUAACUACGUG
rnacentral:rRNA from 1 species